GACGAACGCUGGCGGCGUGCUUAACACAUGCAAGUCGAACGAAGUGGCGAACGGGUGAGUAACGCGUAAUCCACCUGCCCUUCAGAGGGGGACAACAGUUGGAAACGACUGCUAAUACCGCAUCCUGUAGGUGGGGAUUGCGUCUGAUUAGCUAGUUGGAGGGGUAACGGCCCACCAAGGCGAUGAACAGUAGCCGGUCUGAGAGGAUGAACGGCCACAUUGGGACUUAGACACGGCCCAGACUCCUACGGGAGGCAGCAGUGGGGAAUCUUCCGCAAUGGACGAAAGUCUGACGGAGCAACGCCGCGUGAGUGAUGACGGCCUUCGGGUUGUAAAGCUCUGUUAAUCGGGACGCGGUACCGGAAUAGAAAGCCACGGCUAACUACGUGCCAGCAGCCGCGGUAAUUC
rnacentral:rRNA from 1 species